AACGAACGCUGGCGGCAUGCCUAACACAUGCAAGUCGAACGAGACCUUCGGGUCUAGUGGCGCACGGGUGCGUAACGCGUGGGAACCUGCCCUUAGGUUCGGAAUAACUCCCCGAAAGGGGUGCUAAUACCGGAUAAUGUCUUCGGACCAAAGAUUUAUCGCCUGUGGAUGGGCCCGCGUUGGUUUAGCUAGUUGGUAGGGUAAAAGCCGACCAAGGCGACGAUCCAUAGCUGGUCUGAGAGGAGGAUCAGCCACACUGGGACUGAGACACGGCCCAGACUCCUACGGGAGGCAGCAGUGGUGAAUAUAGGACAAUGGGCGAAAGCCUGAACCAGCAAUGCCGCGUGAGUGAUGAAGGCAUUAGGGUUGUAAAGCUCUUUUACCCGGGAUGAUAAUGACAGUACCGGGAGAAUAAGCUCCGGCUAACUCCGU
rnacentral:rRNA from 1 species